rnacentral:rRNA from 1 species
UACGUAGGGAGCAAGCGUUGUCCGGAAUCAUUGGGCGUAAAGCGCGCGUAGGCGGCCCUGUAAGUCCGUUGUGAAAGUCAAAGGCUCAACCUUUGAAAGCCGAUGGAUACUGCAGGGCUAGAGUCCGGAAGAGGCGAGUGGAAUUCCUGGUGUAGCGGUGAAAUGCGCAGAGAUCAGGAGGAACACCCGUAGCGAAGGCGGCACUCUGGGCCGAUACUGACACUGAGGAGCGAAAGCGUGGGGAGCGAACAGG